AAAUAAAUAAGUUACUCCGCCCACUCCAGUUGUAGACUACUGGUGGAGGCAAGAACACUUCACACAAUUUCCCCAGAAAUUGUAGCUUUUAUAGUUUUCCCUUAAUACACACACACACACACACACACACACACACACAAUCAUUUACAUUUUUGGACCCUUUUACAAUGUGUGGAACAUAGCUCAUUUGUAAGUUAGAUGUCAACACGUGGCGUUAGGAUGUAAAAUUUAUGGUAAAUAAGUCUUUGUGUGAGAGAGAAGUCCAGGUUUUAUAAGCUUGAGUGG